rnacentral:rRNA from 1 species
UACGGAGGGUGCAAGCGUUAUCCGGAUUUAUUGGGUUUAAAGGGUCCGUAGGUGGGCAAUUAAGUCAGUGGUGAAAUCCCGUCGCUCAACGAUGGAACUGCCAUAGAUACUGAUUGUCUUGAGUAAAGAUGAAGUAGCUGGAAUAUGUAGUGUAGCGGUGAAAUGCAUAGAUAUUACAUAGAACACCAAUUGCGAAGGCAGGUUACUAAACUUUAACUGACACUGAUGGACGAAAGCGUGGGGAGCGAACAGG